GACGAACGCUGGCGGCGUGCUUAACACAUGCAAGUCGAACGAAGUGGCGAACGGGUGAGUAACGCGUAAUCAACCUGCCCUUCAGAGGGGGACAACAGUUGGAAACGACUGCUAAUACCGCAUACUGAAGGAGGGGAUUGCGUCUGAUUAGCUGUUUGGAGGGGUAACGGCCCACCAAGGCGAUGAUAAGUAGCCAGUCAGAGAGGAUGAACGGCCACAUGGGUACUGAGGAAGGGCCCAGACUCCUACGGGAGACAGCAGUGGGGAAUCUUGCGCAAUGGACGAAAGUCUGACGGAGCAACGCCGCGUGAGUGAUGACGGCCUUCGGGUUGUAAAGCUCUGUUAAUCGGGACGAGGUACCGGAAUAGAGAGCCACGGCUAACUACGUGCCAGCAGCCGCGGUAAUAC
rnacentral:rRNA from 1 species